rnacentral:rRNA from 1 species
UACGUAGGGGGCUAGCGUUGUCCGGAAUCAUUGGGCGCAAAGCGCGCGUAGGCGGCCCGGUAAGUCCGCUGUGAAAGUCAAAGGCUCAACCUUUGAAUGUCAGCGGAUACUGCCGGGCUAGAGUCCGGAAGAGGCGAGUGGAAUUCCUGGUGUAGCGGUGGAAUGCGCAGAUAUCUGGAGGAACACCGGUGGCGAAGGCGGCAUCCUGGACCGGCAUUGACGCUGAGGCGCGAAAGCGUGGGGAGCGAACAGG